UGUAGAUGUUGAACAGCUCUAAUGAGCUCUAGCAUAGCAAAAUAGCGGUAAAUAAUGCUUUCUGCCAUCUCCAGUUAUCUGGGGGACCAUAACUCAUCCUCAAAAUCAUUGGCCAGCUCCCCAUGACUCAUACUUUUCUCCAUUUUCAUGUAGACAGGGGCAAUCCAAUAAACCUGUGCAGAAUGGCUUGGCACUCCAGAAGUUCCAGCAAGCAUAGAAAGGAGCAGUGUCCUGCCACAGCAACAUCAUCUGCCAUAAGCCCACACAGUCUGUAUUUUUUCUCUUCCCCAAACGAACCUAUAGAGCUCCAAAUAAAAUUCAAGGCUUCAGACCUCAUGCUCCAGGCUUCCAAUGGCUGGGAUUCAGCUUACAUAUAAUGUUACCUAAAGCUUUGUGAUAAAGACUAUGCUCAAGCAUUCUACUUCUCUUUAGGCAUUACAGAACUUUCCACAGAUAAAGGUUAAGUUCGACUGUGUUCAAUAUAGAGUUUCUUGACAAGCUGUCUAAGAUUAGGCUGAACACCCACAGGAAGUGAGGAUAUCCCAAGCCUACUAUCUUCUACCUCAAGUAGUACAAGUCUUUCUUCUUGUCUUCUCUAAGUAACAUAACAACAUUUAGACAUGAUGUAUAAAGUCCUACCAAAACAUAACACUGAACACAUAUACAGUAUGUGUGCACAGUAUUUCAGGGGAUGGAGUGAGAGAGCAAAUGGUGUGUGACUCCCUCAGCUAGGACACUUCUGCUUGGAGCUCACCUAAAACUGUUUGUGCAGUACUAUCCCAGCCCUACUUGCAGCAGGACCGGAGGGAGAUAGCAAAGGACAAUGUGAAUAAUAAGCAGCAUAAGAAAAAUCUCUCUUAAGAAGAGAGAUUGUGAGGAAUUGACUGUACUUACCUUAGAAAGGAGACAACUAAGAAAGGACGUUAAGAGAAUAAUGAAUGGUCUAGAAAAGAUGAAGGGAGCUUCUGUGCUUUUCACAGCCGUGCUCAGGUACAGAGCAAAUCAGACAGAGAACUCACCUGCAUUCCCCAAAGUACUAAUCAAAGAUCUUGUUUCCUUCCCAUGACAGACAAAAUAUCCACCAUUUUGAAAAAUGCUUAUUGAAUGUAGUAAGAACAGGGCCAAUAGUAUACUCAAAAAUAACAGUAUGGGAGGAUGCACAAGGCAAAGGUGUGGGCAGGCUAAUAAGGACUUACCAGUGUGAAACAGCAGUUAGUGUGACACCUGGAAUUGCCUCUUUCAGUAAUGAUGUUUGGUAGCUAGAUUUUAUUUUACUUUGCAAGUAAUUUAUCCCCACGCUACUGGUGUCUGUUAACAUCUCAGUGUGUCGCUGGAGUCUGUAAUCCCUCUCUCUCUUCUACCCAUGGCAGCCUCCUUCACUUUAAUCUCAGAUCUCUUACCCUCCUCAGACUCUUAGUGCACACUCACAUUUCCCAACCAUAUUCCCAUGUUUACACAGAUCCAUGUUUCUAGAUUGCCUCCCUGUUCUCUCUCAUUUUUCUUCAUAUAGGACCUCGUGCUCAUGUCCCUCUCUAACAUCAUGUUCCUCCCAGUCUCGCUUCCACUUCUAUUUCCCCAAGUUCUGCCUCUCCCACCCAUGCUUUAUGAUUCCUCUUGGCUCCUCAUUUGCUCUGCCUCCCCAAACUAGGGCCCUCCUGCAUUCCCCCCACCCCGUGUCCCUUUCUAGAGGUGUGUGUCCCUGCAGAGCAAACUGAAGCCCAGUGCAUUGCAUAUAUCAGAAAACAUGUGAGAAGAACAAUAAACUACUGAGGGAAAACUUAGAAAAUAGUAUGCAUUACCUACUCCCUAGAAUUGCCCCUGUGCGGACUCUUGGCACACCCCCCAGUAUAAUGGUGAUUCUUCUGAUAGCUAAAUUACUCUGUAUUUACAAUGAAGUUUCUAUCACAACACAGUUUGCUAACCCGUUGUUAGCCUUCAUACAGAAAAGGUUUCAUUUUCUGAUGAUGAAAAGAAGAUAGAACAAUUUAUAAUAUUUCCAUAAUGAGGUAUCAUUCUGUUCCAUGCCUUGAGGCAGUUUAAAAGAGGCAGACUAUCAAUUCUCUUCUGGGAAAAUCCUAUAGAUAUUAGUUCAGGGUUUUGUGUAACCAUUUUACAUAGUCUUUUGAGAUUUUUUUCGCUGCUGAAUCCCUUGCAGCUUCGUGAGGACCAGGCUUUGCCCAGUUUGCACCUUUCUGUCUUUUCAUCAGCAUAAAGAAAUGAAAAAAAUCUAGCCCAAAAGAAAUAUAAAAGGAAGCUUCCUUUAUCCCUUUGUAUAUAAAAAAUACCCUGCUUUAGAAAUCUCUUAGUUUUAAUCAUGCAAGAAAGGGUUGUUCUACCUCAACAGUCACAUCCCUAUUUCAUCCAUUCUAUGGAUGGUUAGAAUAAGGGGAGCUGAAAUCAAGCAUUUCUUCCAGUGAAUUACAAGAAUGUCUGUUCUGAGCCAGCAAGCUAUAAAAAUGAGCAAAAUGAUAUAAAAACCUAUUAGAGGUAGCAAGAGAUAAUGAUGAUAAUAUCCAUAAUGUACUGUUUCUGCCACUUCAUUCUGCUUUAGAGACUAUUGUUGAGAAUGAUCUGCCUCACCAGGUUCCUGUCUAUCCUGCUUCUUGUGUGACUGCAGAAACUCGCCUUCGUUCAGCGUACCAUUCACUGACCAGACACAGUAAAUCAUAACUGCUCUGUUGAACCCAAGAUGGCACAUGCUGUAGGUAGAUUGUACAAUGCUAUUUAUUUCAUACAGCAUCUGCCAGACAAAGGAUCAAAGAGAUUAACUGAUAGUGGGUCCAGUCCAGGUGCAGACCUGCAGAGCUCUGUAUUGUUUGCAUCCCCAGAAGAGAAAAUGUCCUCUUAAAGCUAUUUUGCUUCUUUCCUUAAGUGCUAGAGCCAAUUUCCUACCUACCUGAUUGUUUCAUAGCUGAUAUUUUCUAAGGGUCUCAGCUCCUUAGAAGCUGGGCUUCUCGUUUUCUCCUGGACAAUAUGUGUGUUAUGUAGCCUGUACAUGGUGAUUAUUGCAAAUGAGAGAGGUUUUACAAAUGAUUUUACAUGGAUGCGAUGUGGACAGUAAUACCAUAAUCCAGGUAUGUGUAGCACUUAUGCAGAAUGUCCAAUGCAGUGAAGAUAGUGCACAUAAGCAGUAAAGCUAAAAAGUGUUGAGCUUUUUCUGCAGGCACUGUAGUCAAUCCAUGUACCAGAAAUUUGCACUUGUCCAGGAUUUCCAGAUAGCCACAGCUACCACAACUAACUGAAUUUGCCAGACAUUUCAUGAAGCUCUUCUUUUUCUGCCUAGGCUUAUGGCAGUCCUAUUUUGGGGGGGGGCAGACAUCUCUGGAGAGGAGGAGACUGCACAGUCUAAAGAUCCCAGCAGACUGACAGCUCUGAAAUGGAACUGAAUCAGGCAGAAGAGGCUUGCUGAAAUACCAUCCAGCUUCCAAACAAUCAAGGAAAGGGAAGAAAUAAAGGAGAGUCUCCCACUUCUUCCCAGUUUUCCUCAAAGGCAAACUUUGGUAAUAACUGUAAAGCAAAAAGAUCUUCAAGUUCACUCGAUCUCUUGGCUAACCAAGUAUGAAACCCCUAUAGCUGUUAGGCAAAAGGCUGUCAGGACGUGGAGGUUAUCAGAGUUUAAGAGCUCAGUGGCAGCACUAUACCUACUAAAAGGGCUGGAUUAGGGCUGGAUUAGGUUGAACAAGUACUUUAGUUCUCUAAGAGGUCAUGAAGGUCCUAACUCUCUUUACUAAGAUAUAUUCGUUAGCUAAACUGAGAUUACAGAAGACAGUUCCAGGAAAAUGAUUUUUAUAUGCUCAGAAUGUUUUUUCAGCCCACAUUUUGUUGUUUAUUGUACAUCAGAAGUCCAAUAAUUUUAUCUUACAUGUUUGCAAAACCAGGCAUAACAUUGGUUAAAUUUCUGUUUUGCAAUAGAGUAACUAUUCUAGUAACUUUUGGAGUAACUUGUAAGCAAGAAUUUGUAAAUGAAUGUACACAUUUUUGUUGGUGCAUUUCUUCUCCCUCAGCUACCCUACAUCAUGCAGAUAGCUCUAUGACUAAGCUCAUAAAUCCUGCAGAGAUUUGAGAGAAUUUAAAAGAAACCUGGAAUGGCCCGAGAUGGAAUGCCUUGUCAUAGGCCAUCCUUCAUCUACCCAUUUAAAUACCCUACAUUUCUUGGAGGCCCCAAGUAGAACUUGCUUCUCAGGCCUUAGAGAUGCUGGUAAAUUCAGAGCCAGCCAAAGGCUGCUGAAACUUGGCUGUAGGAUUUUAACUGUAUGAACCGAAAGACAACAUGCGAUGUUCUUGUACAGCUUCUGGAGGAGAACUGAACUGUGUGUGCCCAGCACUGUGUGGAAAGAGGAAUCAACCUGCCUGCAUCCACAAAAGCAAAAUGCUGCGUGCGUUGGGGAUGUUAUUGAGAGCAGAUGAAAGGCUUCCGGACUAGCUUCAGGAAAAGUUGGCAUCCUGACUUGACUGAUGGGAUGUUAACAGCUCCGAAGAAGAAGAAAAUCCAUAUGCCAAAGCAGAGGAAGAAUGUUGGAUGAAGCAUGGAAACAGGCCUCCUGUUCCUUCCAGUCCAACAGCCAGGUCCUCCUGCCACAAAAGACAAGGAAGAGGAUUGGGUGGAUUGACUACUCAGACUGGCUCCAGAAGGACCGUGUCCCUGAUUACAACCUCUGAGUGAUACUAUGACACAAUAUCUCCAUGUGAUUAGACAGAAAAUCCUGGCCUGGACAGUUUUUAUAAGUUUAGAGACACUUUGAUCAGCUCCUUGCAAUAGUUGUUUUUACCUGUUGCCUUCAAUAUGCUUAAAUUAUCCUCCAUCACUGCAGUGAAGAAGGCCAUAUCCUGAUUUUGAUUUACUCUCCUCCUGUAAUGUGGUGAAAAGGGGAAGGUGGCCUUGGAUGGGGGGAAGGUGGCCUUGGAUGGGGAAUGGUAUUGAACCGAGUGAAUUCAUUUAUGUUUCUGCAGUUUCCUCCUCAGAGUGUCCUUGAGUAAGUCAUUAACGCAGGCCCAUUAAUUUCAGAUGCCUCUUCCUUUUCUGUGCUUAGCCUGGAAGUAUUCAAACUGGGCAUCCAAAAUAGAGUAGACUUUUUGAAGCUUUCACUUUACCUAGCUGGAAGAUAAUUUUCCUUUUUCCUUAAUGUUGUUAAAUAAGAUUGAAAUUCUAAGGUAAUAAACAUAAGAAAAACACACAGUAUUAUACAAAGUAGAAUGGCUAUCAUAGAGAAAUUGCCACUGACCAAAAUUUAUUGCCGUUUAGGAUCUCAAAUACUGAAAUGGUUGAGAAUUUUCUGGGUUAAUAUGUCAACAGAAAAAUCUCAACUAAACGGAUUUUUAAAUGAAUAGCUAUUUAUGUUGAAAAUGUUCAUGGCUUUUUUUUCAGAAUGAAAGUAGAAAAUCCGGUUUCAUUUUCUUUCUUUAAAAUAAUUUACUCAAAAUUGUUGUAACUUUUUUUUGCAUAAAAAAAUCCUUAUCAUUAGUUCUAUUUACUUAUCUGAUAUUUCUUUUUACUUUCAAAGGAUAAUGACUUCAAUACUUCAGAUGCUUCAGAUCGUGGAAUGUCUGGGACUAUCAAAACAUACAAUAAAUACAGCAGUCAUAAUCAGAAACAUUUUGCUUUAGCAUGUAAGCAAUUAUUUCUAUAAAAUCAUUGAUAUUCUUAGGAUUUAACAGGCAUGGUUGGCAAAUUUAUUUACAUCUUUCCAAUGUUUUAUGCAUUUGUUGUUCCAGCUUCAUCUUUGCUAUUUCUGUUCCCUUGUCUUUCUUGAAUUUAUGAUUAAUGUUUCUUUAGACAGCAAAUAGUUAUGCAAAGUCAUAGCAUUUUUGAGAAAUAAAAUAAGUCAAUAAAAUGUCAGUAUUUACAGCAAGUUUUCUCCGCACGCAAGAGAUCUUGUAGGCAAAAGCAAUGCUCAGAUUAAAAUAAUAACUGCCCAAGAAGGAAAGAAAAAUGGGGCAAGAAAUAGGUAUUUACAGAAAAAUUCCAGUGACUACCUGGAUACAAUUGAUAAAGAGGACAAAAGAACUAACAGCAUGGAUUUAAUGGAUCAAGUUUCUCUUCUGCAGUUCAUCUCUUCAUUAAUGGCCCAUGAAAACUGAAGACCAGGAGAUUUGGACCAAAGAACUGCUAAAGACUUAACCAAGCAUUACCCCUUGAAAGACUGUAUCAUUGAUGCUUUAAAUUAAAAUUUUAUUGCCAUUGUAAAACAUCUGUGAGUUACCCAGGAAAAAUAAAAUAUAGGAUUUUCA